rnacentral:lncRNA from 1 species
UAGAUGCUACGCUUGGAGCUUAUAGUCUGGAUGUUGACACAGAAGAUGCAUAUUUGAAAAAGACAAAAGGGAAGUUUAAAAAACUGUAAAUACGAAAAAGCACAUGUGUCACGAAAUCUGGAGACAUCGGUCUGAGACACUCUCUGACUCCUUAGCAGAGACUCACCUAGGACACCAUAAUGAAACAAAAUGGCAGAUCAAAUCUGAAUCACUAUUCACGGCAGGCUUGUGAAAUGCUUAUUUACGGUAUAGACCCAGACUAAAUAUUUCAAGGAUAUUUGGAUAUGAAAACAUCCAAGGUGGUGCUACUGUGUAGUUGUAUCAUUAAAUGGGCCUAGGGGAUCCCUUGGAGGAAACACACAGCAGGAAGUCCAUGUUCCUGCAAUUCCCAUCUUCUACGUGAGCCAGCCCUGCCUGUCAGUCAGCUGUGGACAGCAGCAGAGUGUGAUGCUUAAGGAAGCAGGCUCCAGAGCCAGGCUCCUGGGAUGGCUGUGCCGUGGACCAGCUGUGUCACCUUGGGAAAUUUCCCAAACUCCUCUUAGUCUUCUCAUCUAUAAAUGGUGGAUCCAAUGCUUCCCUGCCUCAGUGUUGUCGUGAAGAUGAAAUGGGUUAAAACAUGUGAAACAGUGUCUGGCACACAGUAAACAAACCAUAAAUGCUGGUUGUCAUGUCCUUAUUGCU